rnacentral:rRNA from 1 species
CACCGGCGGCUCGAGUGGUAACCGUUAUUAUUGGGUCUAAAGGGUCUGUAGCCGGCCGGAUAAGUCUCUUGAGAAAUCUGGCAGCUUAACUGUCAGGCUUUCAGGAGAUACUGUCUGGCUCGAGGCCGGGAGAGGUGAGAGGUACUUCAGGGGUAGGGGUGAAAUCUUGUAAUCCUUGAAGGACCACCAGUUGCGAAGGCGUCUCACCAGAACGGACCUGACGGCAAGGGACGAAAGCUAGGGGCACGAACCGG